UCUUUAUUAUUUACAAAUACAUCAAUAAUAAGUUUUCGCGGAAAACAUCACUUUGGGGGAAGAAAAAUGGGUGAGUAGGAGUGUGUGUGUUCGUUCUUCUGUACUGUUGUGUGUGUUGAUCUGUUUAUUUAAGAUUGUGUUGUUUUGGUGUUGCAUUUUGUGUUGUGCUGUGAGUCUUGAUAUGUUUUUUUUCUUCUUGUUUUAGUAUAGUGCUGUGUGUUGUUUUGUGUUGAGUCGAUAUAUUUGUUUUUCGACUGUGUUGGUUUGGUGUUGUUUUGGUUCUGUGCUGUGUUGUCUUGUAUUGCUUUGGUAUGUGUUGUGUCGCACUGUUAAAGAAAAUCAAGGUGAGUUGUUUUGGUGCUGUGCUGUGUUGUCUUGUAUUGUUUUGGUAUGUGUUGUGUUGCACUGUUAAAGAAAAUCAAGGUGAGUUGUUUUGGUGCUGUGCUGUGCUGUGUUGUCUUGUAUUGUUUUGGUAUGUGUUGUGUUGCACUGUUAAAGAAAAUCAAGGUGAGUUGUUUUGGUGCUGUGCUGUGUUGUCUUGUAUUGCUUUGGUAUGUGUUGUGUUGCACUGUUAAAGAAAAUCAAGGUGAGUUGUUUUGGUACUAUGCUGUGUUGUCUUGUAUUGUUUUGGUAUGUGUUGUGUUGCACUGUUAAAGAAAAUCAAGGUGAGUUGUUUUGGUGCUGUGCUGUGUUGUCUUGUAUUAUAUUGUUAAGAAAAAUCACGGUAAGUUGUUUUUAUGUUGUCUUGUGUGUCUUGAUCUGAAUUGUUUUGCGUUGUCUUGUGUUGUGUUGCAUUGUUAAGGAAAGUCAAGGCGAGUUGUUUUGGUGUUGUUUCUUGUUUUGCGUUGUCUUGUGUUGUGUUGCAUUGUUAAGGAAAGUCAAGGCGAGUUGUUUUGGUGUUGUUUCUUGUUUUGCGUUGUCUUGUGUUGUUGUGUUGCAUUGUUAAGGAAAAUCAAGGCGAGUUGUUUUGGUAUUGUAUCUUGUUUUACGUUGUCUUGUGUUGUUGUGUUGCAUUGUUAAGGAAAAUCAAGGCGAGUUAAGUGUCCAUGUCUCACGCAACCUGAGACACACAACGAAUCGCUCAGGACGAGGCAUAUGCAUUUCAAUCCUAAGUUGAGCCUCACACAAGGGGAUCCAAUACUACUCAGAGGGGCGUAAAGCUACUAAAAGGGAUUCUAUUACUUUUUUUCUCUUAAUUUACUUCCACACCAGAUAUUCAGUUUAUUUUUUGAAGGGUUCGUGGUAAGUUUUAUUUUUCUUACUUUUUUCUCUGUAAUAUUUUCCUUCCCUUUAUCACGUUCCUUUUCUUGUCUUUCAAAGUUUCCACCUUGAACUGUUUACUCAUUCCUGCACAUUUUUGCCUUUUCAGAUUUUGACUUAUUUU